AGUGAUGCAGCCCAAUUUGGUAGCGCAUUUGUUUCAGGCACAAAAUGUCGCGGGUUCAAAUCCUGUCAUCCCUA